UCAAAAUUCAGCUAUAGAAUUAAUGAAUAAAUUUUUUUUGUAAUUUUCCAAAAAUUGCUGUUCCACAAUUUGACAAAUAUCAGGCAAACAAUAGCAUCCAGACAAAAAAGAAGAUUCUUAAAAAUGUUCAAUUCAUGACCAUUACUGAACCCUAGGAGAGGUUCAACUUGGGGUAGUACAAAACACACUGAAACUUGAUUAUUUGAAAUGUUUUCUCAAUUGCACAAAAUAUUGGCCUAAUAUUUUGUAAAAGUUAAUUUCAAUCCAUUAUGUUAAGAAAAAUGCAUAAAUCAUACCCAUCAUUGAAUUAAAGCAGAAAAAUCGAGGUACAAUGUAUUUUGAUUAUUUUUAAACCUACAUUUGAACGGUGUUCAUUACAUUUUAGCCUUAUACAUGUACAUGUAUCAUCUAAGCUAGAAUAUGUAACUCUUGUUUCUUCUUUAGUAAAGACCUUAAACUUGGACAAAAUCAUCACGUCAAGUGUUUAGGAUUUAUGCUCAUCAUAUUCAAACUCAUAACCAAAGGUGAAAUAUAUCAUCUAGGACUUUUAUCCAUAUUCACCUCUUUCAAAUGUUUUAAAAUUGCAAUUAAUCUAAAACACAUGGUCAAUUUUUCACUUAAUAUUUGUUUAUUAAAUGGGGGUAUGACAAUCAUACAGUUAAACUUAUUGAAAUUUGAAGCAUACAAUUUCUGUAUAGAGACCUCCAAGUGCUGUUUUUACAUUAUUUUGCAUCAGAAUUUACUAUAAGCCACCAGUUCGAAUACAGUUCAGUUUUUUAAAGUAAAAAAAUGUCUUGUGUACAAAUGCAGCACAAACAUUUGUAAUAUCUUUGAAAGUAACUUAUAGGUAUGCCAAAUUCUAUGAAUGACAAUUCAAUUUUACACUUCACUGAAAGGAGGUUGAAAUUUAAGAUUUGAAGCAAAGUGAGCAAAGAUCUAUACAUGUAUAUGAGAAGGGCCUAAACUGCCCCCUCCCCCAAAUAAUUUGAUAACCUUUUAACAUUUUUAAAACUGGUGUAAUGGGGGGAUUUGCACGACUGUUAUCAUAUACAGUCCUUUAAAAUUUUUACUGGUUCCUUUCCAAAGAACAAAAUAUUGAACUAUCAGAAAAAAUUGAAAAAUAGAAAAAAUCCAUGUACAGCUUUCCCCCACCCACCUCCAUGUAUAACUGAUAAAACAGUUUUGAUUGAUUUAAAAUACAUUGAAUAGGUAAAAUAAAUUAUUAUGAAGCUGAUGUACACCAAAUUCAGGAAACUGUAUGUAGUCAAUAAAAUAAAAUUUGUGUACUUUU
rnacentral:sRNA from 1 species